rnacentral:rRNA from 1 species
UAGUGGCGAACGGGUGAGUAACACGUGGGCAAUCUGCCCUUCACUCUGGGACAAGCCCUGGAAACGGGGUCUAAUACCGGAUAAUACCUGCCUGGGCAUCUGGGUGGGUUAAAAGCUCCGGCGGUGAAGGAUGAGCCCGCGGCCUAUCAGCUUGUUGGUGAGGUAGUGGCUCACCAAGGCGACGACGGGUAGCCGGCCUGAGAGGGCGACCGGCCACACUGGGACUGAGACACGGCCCAGACUCCUACGGGAGGCAGCAGUGGGGAAUAUUGCACAAUGGGCGAAAGCCUGAUGCAGCGACGCCGCGUGAGGGAUGACGGCCUUCGGGUUGUAAACCUCUUUCAGCAGGGAAGAAGCGAAAGUGACGGUACCUGCAGAAGAAGCGCCGGCUAACUACGUGCCAGCAGCCGCGGUAAUACGUAGGGCGCAAGCGUUGUCCGGAAUUAUUGGGCGUAAAGAGCUCGUAGGCGGCUUGUCACGUCGGGUGUGAAAGCCCGGGGCUUAACCCCGGGUCUGCAUUCGAUACGGGCUAGCUAGAGUGUGGUAGGGGAGAUCGNAUUCCU